GUGCUUGCUUCGGCAGCACAUAUACUAAAGUUGGAAUGAUACAGAGAAGAUUAGCAUGGCCCCUGCACGAGGAUGACACACAAAUUCGUGAAGCGUUCCAUAUUUUU
ensembl:snRNA U6 U6 spliceosomal RNA